rfam:Ovis aries breed Texel chromosome 16, whole genome shotgun sequence.
UCCCUGGUUGCUCAGAAGGUAAAGCGUCUGCCUGCAAUGCAGGAGACCCAGGUUCAAUCCCUGGGUUGGGAA